UGGAGGGGGAGGAUCCAUGGUCGGACAACGAGGACUGGGUCUCCACGCAGAGGACCACGAAGAAGAAACCACGAACGGAAGAGAAAGCAGAGGAGAAAGUGGUGAAAGUUGGCCCAUCUAUUUCUGUUGCUAAAUCUACGCCUGCACCGACUGCGACACCAACCCCUGCUCCUCCCAAACAUUUGGCCGUUGAGACGACUAGAGCAGCAGGCUGUGCGGAAGGGGAAUUAAAUCCUCGUGGGACGGAGGAUAAGGAGAAGAGGAAAUCUGUCACCGCCACAAGUACUGCUCGUGAGGACCAGGCCUUCCAACCUGUCCCGUGGGAAUGCGUCCCCAGAGUGGUGGAAAUGGAGGUGGACGAUGAGGAAGCGAGACGACGAGUCAGGGAUGAGAGGGGGAUUGUUGUCAGGAAGUUGGGAGAGAGAGAACAGUUGGGAGAUGAGUUCCAAAUUAGGUACCCGAAUUCGUCAGUUGGGAGACUCGGUAUAGUAAUCUAAGAUGAAGGGGUCGAUAAGAUCAGACAGACCAUUCUACGGUUGGUUGGUUUAGCUCCGGAAACCAUCUCUGCUGACCUCGACGUGUAUGAAGCGUCCCCUGAAAUAAUUCUAACGCAGGAGGAACAAGGGUUAACGGACGGACAACGGGAGACUCUCUUUAAGGAGAUUUUCGCCAGAGGAGGUCGUGUCCCUGUCGAUGAUAAGCCAGGAUGGUUUUUAAUUAUUCAUAAAGCCCCCACCACCGGUAUAAUCCAUCUUUGUUUGGAAAAAUUAUCGGGAGCAAACGUUUACGAAGCUUUUAGGCUUUGUACAAAACCAAAAUGUUACCAGUUUAUGCACACUCUUUCAAGUGACGUCCUCCCAAAGUGUCACGUACACCAGCCUGAGCUAAUUCAUAUUGUUCUACAAGUAACUGACUACAAGCGGAGGGACGCGCUGGUUCAAAUCUGCAUGAAACUUGCCCUCUCCGUAGCGUCAGGUGCAUCCGAACAGAAGAAAAAUGAGGAGGUUGAAUUGUGGUUGGGUUAUAAAUCAGCUAGCUAUCCAUCUUGGAAGGGAUACUGUGAUGCCCGGAUCUCUACACUCUCAACCAAGGGUCUCAAAGGAAAGGCGAAGAAGAAGGAGGAUGACAAAAAUCGUCCGAUUGCCAAGUCCAUCGAUCGAUUCUACUUUACCAACGAGGAGGAGGCUCUCAAGAAGUUAGCAUUUGAAUCGACCAUUUGUAUGUUUAUGAAACUUGCCCCCGGAACUCCAGCCAUCAUCAACUUGGAUGAUCUCAUCCCCCUCUGCUACGGGAUGGAGGUCAGAUCGAUGCGCGACUGAAGGAACGAGGAAUGGUGCUCAAAAUUCGUCGCCACUUGAAGCCGGAGGAGAGGAAGGCGGUCAAGUAUCCAUUUCCAGGGGAGUACUUGCUCGGAACAGCAGCAGCAGAAUUACAAAAACCAGAGAAAGGGAAGACUUUUUUGUAUGCCAUCAUGUCUCGUGACAUGUGGUAUUUCGGAUGGAGUAACACUCCCGAUUUCAAGGGUCGCUUGGACGGAAGCCGGACGGAUGGAGCUAGUGAAUACAAAAACAUCACGGUGGCUAGAGCUAAGUCUGAAGGCGUCGAGCCUCCCACCCUGACCUGCUACCUUCUCGCCAAAUGUGAUGAUGAUGAUAAGAAGAGGAUCAAGACAAGGACAAUCGAAGCCAAAAUGAUUAUUGCUGGUUAUGUUGCAUAUUUGUUAGGUCUGCGUAAUCCCAUUCGUCCUAAUUCUGAUCUAGGUUAUUCUACUAACAAGUGUGUCUCUUUAAGUCUUGUUGAUUCUUCUUCAUGGGGAGAUAUUUGUGAAUUUGUAAAGUUAUUUUAUGGGUUUGAGCCAAUAUUGGAAAAAUUUUGAGGAAAAUUGAAUUAUUUUUGGCUUUUUGUAUAUAUAUGAAGUAAACUUGGGAAAAAGAAAUAAAACUUAUUACUCACCCGGUCAA